UAAGCUGUAGUUUAAAAAAAACAUUUAACUUACAAUUAAAAUUUACUAGUGUCAGCUUAA
rnacentral:tRNA from 1 species